rnacentral:rRNA from 1 species
UACGGGGGGAGCAAGCGUUGUUCGGAUUUACUGGGCGUAAAGGGCGCGUAGGCGGCCACCGCAAGUCAAUUGUGAAAUCUCCGGGCUUAACUCGGAAAGGUCAACUGAUACUGCGGGGCUAGAGUGCGGAAGGGGCAACUGGAAUUCUCGGUGUAGCGGUGAAAUGCGUAGAUAUCGAGAGGAACACCUGCGGCGAAGGCGGGUUGCUGGGCCGACACUGACGCUGAAGCGCGAAAGCCAGGGGAGCGAACGGG